UACGUAGGGUGCGAGCGUUAAUCGGAAUUACUGGGCGUAAAGCGUGCGCAGGCGGUUCUCCAAGUCCGUUGUGAAAGCCCCGGGCUCAACCUGGGAAUGGCAGUGGAAACUAGGGGACUUGAAUCUGGCAGAGGGGGGUGGAAUUCCACGUGUAGCAGUGAAAUGCGUAGAGAUGUGGAGGAACACCGCUGGCGAAGGCAGCCCCCUGGGCUGAGAUUGACGCUCAGGCACGAAAGCGUGGGGAGCAAACAGG
rnacentral:rRNA from 1 species